rnacentral:lncRNA from 1 species
UUACCAGCAAAUAUGAACAGACUUAGAAACCUAGUAAUAAGCCAGCUCUCACAACCCUAUUUUUAAUCCAUUCUUUGUGUCUGCGACAAACUAUCCUAAAAGGAUGGUAAAGCUUGGGGCCACUGAGAGAGGAGGAGGGUACCCAUAACUUGAGCAAUUCCCCAAUCAGUACUCAUAUGCCCUUGGCAACUGCCUCCUAACCCUCUCAUCACACUCAUAAACAGAUGCAAAUACCGCCCAGAUACCUGCCCCCAGAGGUGCUUUGGACUGCUGCCUUCCACAGAGAAACGCAAAGCAUUUUCCAAUUCCUUAAAGCACGACCAAAUACCUUGCAUUAACCACAGCCACGACACCGGUGCCAGGGAGCUCAUUUACAAAGUACUGGUCCUAUUAACGCUGGGAUUGCUGGAUGGGAAACAGGUGUACCUUUCCCAUUUAGUGACACACACCUUCCAGAGAUAAAGGCAAUUAUGUUCACAACCCAAAUGAACUUCGGAAGCACCUCAAAAUGCUCCAGUCCGUCCCGGGCUUGUAAACCUGGGUCACUUUUCAGAGACUGUCGUGAGUUCCCCUGGCGACCCUCGCAUCAUCCCAUCCUCAAAGAGAGUCAACUAGGAAACACCAAAAGUCCAAAGGCUGCAUUGUGAAUCUCUGCUGCUGCCACUGCCUAACUACUGGCUGUGACUGCUAAGCAUCUACCGCGAGCGCUGCCUUACUCUGUGCCAAGCCCCAAGCCCCGACCAGGCACUGCAGGCCAAGGUGCUCCGGAGAAGACAAGGGUGAGGCUAAGCUUAGCACAUGCCAGGCAUCCUCUCCUAUGGAAAUUCUUGGAGAUGGAGGGAAAAGUACUAGCACACCCACAGUAAGGCUUCCUCUGAAGGACAGAGCUGGAGGACAGCUACCACCGGGUGAGUCAUCAGCCAUACUGUUUUCUUGAAAGAUCACUUACUGAUCCCAAAACCUAGAGCGUCUCCAUUUCACCCCAGGGAAUGGCAUUUAUCUUCUGGCACUUGUGAAUCACCAAAGGAAUGGCAAUAACAAAUAAUAAAACCUCACCAUAGCUGAGGUGUUCUGGGUUUGCUACCUAUGAGAAGUCAUAAAGCAGAACAAAUGUUAUUACUAACUGAAGCCACACAUUAAUUAAU